GAAUCUGGGAUAACGUCGCGAAAGCGAUGCUAAUACCGGAUAAUAUCCAGGAAGUCAUGGCUUUCUGGAUCAAAGGAGGCCUCUACAUGUAAGCUUCUGUUUGGGGAUGAGCCCGCGGACCAUUAGCUUGUUGGCAGGGUAAUGGCCUACCAAGGCUACGAUGGUUAGCUGGUCUGAGAGGAUGAUCAGCCACACUGGAACUGAGACACGGUCCAG
rnacentral:rRNA from 1 species